UACGUAGGGUGCAAGCGUUGUCCGGAAUUAUUGGGCGUAAAGAGCUCGUAGGCGGCUUGUCACGUCUGCUGUGAAAACUCGGGGCUCAACCCCGAGCCUGCAGUGGAUACGGGCUAGCUAGAGUGCGGUAGGGGAGACUGGAAUUCCUGGUGUAGCGGUGAAAUGCGCAGAUAUCAAGAGGAACACCUGCGGCGAAGGCGGGUUGCUGGGCCGACACUGACGCUGAUGCGCGAAAGCCAGGGGAGCGAACAGG
rnacentral:rRNA from 1 species